UCAGACAUCUAUCACAGACCAGCAGAGCCACACAGCGCAGAGAGAGAGAGAGAGAGAGAGAGAGAGAGAGAGAGAGAGAGAGAGAGAGAGAGAGAAGAGAAGAGAAGAGAAGAGAAGAGAAGAGAGAGAGAAGAGAGAGAGAGAGAGAGAGAGAACUCAAGUGUGACAACCAUAAACACAUUGUUCUUGCUAUUGAAUGAAGGAGUCAAAGUGGAAGUUUAGAAGGAUCAAUGCUCCCAAAGGAUGGUCUCAAAUCCUUGAACUGAAGUAAGAACAGAAGUGUUUACUGCAAGGUCGCUGUUGUGAAACGUCUUGUGGCUGGGAGCCUUCACAGGGGGUCUUCUCAUGGAGAUGCCGUGUAAGGCAGAGAAAGGGGACAGCGUUGUUCCGAGACUUUCCACUACUGUUUCAUGCGAGGGAUAGACUACUGAUGGCACAGAGAAUCAACAGAUCACUAUAAAGAAGGUUGCAGACUAUUACUGUGGGAAAAAUGGACCAAAGAAGCUUGCUUAUCUAUGUAAGUUAGGAUUGUUCAUGGCUAAUAUUGUAUAGAAAUGGUGCUAGCAGACCCUGUGUGUACCCCAAAGGCUAUGCCAAAUAUCCAUGACACCACGCUUACUUCAGAAUCAUUGAAUGGGAAGAAGACGAAGAAUAUCCAUACUCAUUCUCUGGACUUACUGUGUUCUCUGUCAAUAAGGUUGGUGAACCAGCACACCAGGCUAGAUGCCAUAUCCUAGCUAGACAAACCUUAAUGGCAUAAUGGAGAGUCAAUGCAUCCUCCCUGCCAAAAGCACGCUUAUUAGUGAAAUAGGUAGGAAUUCCAACUGAUAAUGCCAACUCAUUGGAGCAAGUGGUUUCUCAAUUGAUCAAAUAUUUAGCAACCUCAAAAUACGUCAUCCAUAAUAUAAAUUAUGGUGAUGUGCCAUAACCAAGCUUUUAGAGGUCUAAAAAUACUGCGUAGAACUUAGUGGAAAUGCUUUACACACUAAAAGAGCAGAAUGAAACGGUUUCCAUCUGCACGGCACUGCCCAGCUCACCUGUCUUCUAGACACAGGGUGAGGACUGGGGACAGCUACAGAGAACGGGACAGUUACUGCCUGAAGACCAGUGUGAAGAAUAGAACUAAACUCAAUUCUGCUUAGCCACUCGGGUGUGGUCAUGCGUGUCUCUAGCUCCAGCUUUUGGAAAGUGGAAGCAGGAGGAUCGUAAGUCCAAGGCGAGAGGAAUCUAGGCACAAGGUGACAGUCGCACUCAGGCUCAAGGAGGAUGAGAACAAGAGGUAGCAGACACCCACCUUUUCCAUUUAGGUUUGCCCUCUUCCUGUCCCCAUUUUGAAGGAACUGUCUCUCCUCCUAUUUUCAACCUAUGUGAUUCAGAUGAACACCACUUAGGGUUCAAAAGCAAGCAGAGGCACAAGUCUGGCUACCUCAUGUCUUUGGUUAUGGCUAGUGACAAAGGACAGACAUGUGGCAUAAGCCAGCCAACACAAACGAUCAUACUCAGCCUCAGAAUCCUUGUAACACUAUCGGGGACAUUUUUUAAAAAUUAGGAAACUAGCCCUAAGGACAACAUGAGCAGAGACCUGAAUUCUUUUACUAAGGACAAACAACUGCAAAGACAGAUUCCCCCACAACAGGACAGAGCAUCUAACAGACAUGUCUGAAGCCUCUCUCCCCACGUCACAAGGCAACCUUCUAACUUCAUCUUUUUAAAAAGCUUAAACCAUGUGCUUUACCCAACUCUAUAACUCCAGCUCCUCCCCUCAAAUGCACCCAAAAUAUUAACCUUAAAAGAGUCAUAUACUUUGUAUAUUUAUUUUGAAGAAAAAAGAUGCACCCAAAAUAUUAAUGUUAAAAGAGUCAUAUACUUUGUUUUGAAGAAAUAACGUUAUUAUUGUUUGGAAAAUGAUAAUCUUAUUGGAUUCACUUUCUCAUACACACACACACCUCUCUCUCUCUCUCUCUCUCUCUCUCUCUCUCUCUCUCUCUCUCUCUCUCUCUCUCUCUCUCCCUCCUCCCCACUGAUCCCAUAGAGUUAAGACAGAGCUGCUUGUGAUGGAGCAAGCAGUAUGUGGAGGCCCAGCACGACACAAUGAGUAUCUGCUGGGUAUUUUUGAGAGAACAUCUUCAGUCACAAAACUGCUAAAACAGCCAUAUUUUCUCUGUGCAUGUUUGUAUGCCUGUGCGUAUGUGCUUGUGGAACCCAUAGAUGUCUUCCUCAGUGGCUUGCCACCUUAUUAUUUGAGGCAGGGUCUCUCCCUGAAUCUAGAGGCAGGGUCUCUCCCUGAAUCUAGAGCGCAGAAUCUGUUAGACUGGAUGGCCAGAAAGUACCAGACAACUGCUUGUGUCUGCUGCAUACCUACUCCCUCUCCCCCAACUCUACAGUGCUAGGGUUUCUGAGACCACCGUACCUAGAGAUGCAACACACACACACACACACACACACACACACACACACACACACACACACACACUGUGUGGGCUAGAGUCAUCCCCCAUGUUUGGAGAUGCACACACAGACUCACACCUGGGUACUGGGCAUCCAGACUCUGUCUUCAUGAUUGAAAGGCAAAUACUUCAUUGACUCAGCCAUCUCUCCAGCCUCUAGAAUUUCUUAAAGUAAUAAAUACACACCUGCUGUGUAACAGGGAUACUCCACUCCUAGUGGAGAUAUAAGGGUUCGAACACAGAAUAUCAUUCAGAACUUUGAUUUAUUCUUGGACCUCACUCUGCUCCUGGACUGGGAAGUUCGUUUAAAGCACUGCUAUUUAGUUGACCACCUCUACUGUUACACCAUAACACAUUACAGACCAUUCAGGUCAAGCGUCUACUCCUGCUGUAGCUUUCAGCACCAGCUAAUUGAGCUCAGGCUUGCCAGCGUUAUUCCUAAAGAGAUCACCUUUACACUCCUUGAGGAAGUGAAAGCAGUGUGUUUUGUUUUCAGUAUUGUAUGAAAACAGGAAACAAGAAAACAGGAAUUUAGAACACAUACACACACACACACACACACACAACCUUAGUACAAAUAGAAAUGCCCAACAAGAAAUAACUGCCAUGUUCAGUAACCAUGAGAAAUGUGCUAGUCACAUAUGCUGCAAUUUGGAUGUUUUACAACAUACCUGAAAGAGUAAAAGAAGCAAAAUAAAACAGCAAAUUCUUUA